UACGUAGGGUGCAAGCGUUGUCCGGAAUUAUUGGGCGUAAAGAGCUCGUAGGCGGUCUGUCGCGUCUGCUGUGAAAACCUGAGGCUCAACCUCGGGCUUGCAGUGGGUACGGGCAGACUAGAGUGCGGUAGGGGUGACUGGAAUUCCUGGUGUAGCGGUGGAAUGCGCAGAUAUCAGGAGGAACACCGAUGGCGAAGGCAGGUCACUGGGCCGCAAGCCGACGC
rnacentral:rRNA from 1 species